GGUUCUAUAGUGUAGCGGCUAUCACACGGGAUUCUGACUUCGAUCAAUUUCCCGUAACCCCGGUUCGAUCCCGGGUAGGACCU